rnacentral:rRNA from 1 species
UGGGGGGCAGGCUACACAUGCAAGUCGAGCGGUAGCACAGAGAGCUUGCUCUCGGGUGACGAGCGGCGGACGGGUGAGUAAUGUCUGGGAAACUGCCUGAUGGAGGGGGAUAACUACUGGAAACGGUAGCUAAUACCGCAUAAUGUCGCAAGACCAAAGUGGGGGACCUUCGGGCCUCAUGCCAUCAGAUGUGCCCAGAUGGGAUUAGCUAGUAGGUGGGGUAACGGCUCACCUAGGCGACGAUCCCUAGCUGGUCUGAGAGGAUGACCAGCCACACUGGAACUGAGACACGGUCCAGACUCCUACGGGAGGCAGCAGUGGGGAAUAUUGCACAAUGGGCGCAAGCCUGAUGCAGCCAUGCCGCGUGUGUGAAGAAGGCCUUCGGGUUGUAAAGCACUUUCAGCGGGGAGGAAGGCGUUAAGGUUAAUAACCUUGGCGAUUGACGUUACCCGCAGAAGAAGCACCGGCUAACUCCGUGCCAGCAGCCGCGGUAAUACGGAGGGUGCAAGCGUUAAUCGGAAUUACUGGGCGUAAAGCGCACGCAGGCGGUCUGUCAAGUCGGAUGUGAAAUCCCCGGGCUCAACCUGGGAACUGCAUUCGAAACUGGCAGGCUAGAGUCUUGUAGAGGGGGGUAGAAUUCCAGGUGUAGCGGUGAAAUGCGUAGAGAUCUGGAGGAAUACCGGUGGCGAAGGCGGCCCCCUGGACAAAGACUGACGCUCAGGUGCGAAAGCGUGGGGAGCAAACAGGAUUAGAUACCCUGGUAGUCCACGCCGUAAACGAUGUCGAUUUGGAGGUUGUGCCCUUGAGGCGUGGCUUCCGGAGCUAACGCGUUAAAUCGACCGCCUGGGGAGUACGGCCGCAAGGUUAAAACUCAAAUGAAUUGACGGGGGCCCGCACAAGCGGUGGAGCAUGUGGUUUAAUUCGAUGCAACGCGAAGAACCUUACCUGGUCUUGACAUCCACAGAACUUAGCAGAGAUGCUUUGGUGCCUUCGGGAACUGUGAGACAGGUGCUGCAUGGCUGUCGUCAGCUCGUGUUGUGAAAUGUUGGGUUAAGUCCCGCAACGAGCGCAACCCUUAUCCUUUGUUGCCAGCGGUUAGGCCGGGAACUCAAAGGAGACUGCCAGUGAUAAACUGGAGGAAGGUGGGGAUGACGUCAAGUCAUCAUGGCCCUUACGACCAGGGCUACACACGUGCUACAAUGGCAUAUACAAAGAGAAGCGACCUCGCGAGAGCAAGCGGACCUCAUAAAGUAUGUCGUAGUCCGGAUUGGAGUCUGCAACUCGACUCCAUGAAGUCGGAAUCGCUAGUAAUCGUAGAUCAGAAUGCUACGGUGAAUACGUUCCCGGGCCUUGUACACACCGCCCGUCACACCAUGGGAGUGGGUUGCAAAAGAAGUAGGUAGCUUAACCUUCGGGAGGGCGCUACCACUUUGAUAAG